rnacentral:tRNA from 1 species
GUUCAUGUAGCUUAUAGUACAAAGCAAGGCACUGAAAAUGCCUAGAUGAGUUAUUAAACUCCAUAAACA